rnacentral:lncRNA from 1 species
UGCCUUCCAUGUUGUUUUCAUCUUUCAAUCCUAACAAAUCUUCUAAAUUUUAAGCUUUCCUCUUAACUUGUUUACAAAUGAUGAAAAUAAUUUUCCCUUAAAUUCUGCCAUUCUUAUAGGUAUUACAAUGUUGCAAAGAUGAAGAGUUUGUCCAGCGGCACAUAUUACAGUCAUGUCCAGAUUCAUCAUUAUACCAUGCUG